UGUUGCCUGCAAGGGCGUAUGGUGGAUGCCUUGGCAGACAGGACCGAUGAAGGACGUUUGAGGCUGCGAUAUGCCUCGGGGAGCCGCCAACAGGGCUUUGAUCCGAGGAUUUCCGAAUGGGGGAACCCACCGGCCGUCAUGGGCCGGUACCGCCGUGUGCGGGGGGUACGCAGGGAAGUGAAACAUCUCAGUACCUGCAGGAAAGGAUAUUCCGUGAGUAGUGGCGAGCGAAAGCGGAUCAGGCCAAACCUUGCGCGUGUGAUACCCGUCGGGGGUUGCGCGCGGGGUGUAGAGGGAUCGCGUUUGCCGGCUCCGACGGGCCGGCCGUCAGUUGCAUAAAACCAUGUGCCAGGGGAACCGGGUUGAAUACCGGGCCGCAGAGGGUGAGGGCCCCGUACCCGAACGCGCAUGGUCUGGCGAUCGCGUCUCCCAAGUAGCACGGGCCCCGUGGAAUCCCGUGCGAAUCUGUCCCGACCGUGGGAUAAGCCUAAAUAUUCCUGUCUGACCGAUAGCGAACGAGUACCGUGAGGGAAAGGUGAAAAGUACCCCGGGAGGGGAGUGAAACAGUCUCUGAAACCAUGCGCCUACGAACCGUCGGGGCCCCCUUGUGGGGUGACGGCGUGCCUAUCGAAAAAUGAGUCUGCGAGUCAGUGGCAUGUGGCGAGCAUAACCCGUGUGGGGUAUGCGUAGCGAAGGCGAGUCUUAAAAGGCGUUUAAAGUCGCGUGUCCUGGACCCGAAGCGGGAUGAUCUAGCCCUGAGCAGGUUGAAGCGCGGGUAAGACCGUGUGGAGGACCGAACCCACCUGGGUUGAAAACCGGGGGGAUGACUUGGGGCUAGGGGUGAAAGGCCAAUCAAAUUCCGUGAUAGCUGGUUCUCUCCGAAAUGCAUUUAGGUGCAGCGUCGGAUCGAUUACAUCCGGGGGGUAGAGCGACUGGAUGCUUGCGGGCCCAUAUCGGGUACCAACAGCAACCAAACUCCGAAUACCCGUGAUGCGUAUCCCGGCAGUGAGUCGGCGGGGGAUAAGCUCCGUCGUCGAAAGGGAAACAGCCCAGAUCGUCGUCUAAGGUCCCCAAGCGUGUGCUAAGUGGGAAAGGAUGUGGAGUCGCAUAGACAGCCAGGAGGUUGGCUCAGAAGCAGCCACCCUUGAAAGAGUGCGUAACAGCUCACUGGUCUAGUGGUUCCGCGCCGACAAUGUAGCGGGGCUCAAGCACACCACCGAAGACGCGGCAGUAGCUUUGCUACUGGGUAGGAGAGCGUCCCAUGCGGGGCGAAGCGGCGGCGCAAGCCCGCCGUGGACCGCAUGGGAGUGAGAAUGCAGACAUGAGUAGCGAAAGACGGGUGAAGAUCCCGUCCGCUGGACGACCAAGGGUUCCAGGGCCACGUUCAUCGUCCCUGGGUGAGUCGGGUCCUAAGGCGAGGCCGACAGGCGUAGUCGAAUGGAUGAACGGGUCGAUAUUCCCGUACCGGCAUGCAACCGGCAAAACCGAAUCCGCGAGUACUAACCUCCGGGUCCGGGCUCACGUCUCCUUCGGGAGCCGGAUGCCCUGGCCUGUUGGGACCGUAACGGUAGUAGGUCAGCGCGGGAGUGACGCAGAAGGGUAGCCGGCCGCGGAGGUGGUCUUCCGUGGUCAAGCACGCAGCCCGUCCCACAGGCAAAUCCGUGGGGCGCGUGGGCGAGGUGCGAUGAUGGGCGCCGCAGGGCGCGAUAUCCGGUGAUCCCGGCUGCCGAGAAAAGCUUCGGCGUGAGGCGGCAUGCCGCCCGUACCCCAAACCGACACUGGUGGUCAGGUAGAGAAUACCAAAGCGAUCGAGCGAAUCCUGGUCAAGGAACUCGGCAAAUCACUCCCGUUCCUUCGGUUUAAGGGAGACCCCCGAUGGUGAAGCGGCUUGCCCGCGGAGCUUUUGGGGGUGGCACAGACCAGGGGGUAGCGACUGUUUACCAAAAACACAGGAGCGUGCGAAGGCGCAAGCCGCUGUAUACGCUCUGACGCCUGCCCGGUGCCGGAAGGUUAAGAGGAUCCGUCAGGCCUCGGCCGAAGCGGUGAAUUCAAGCCCCGGUAAACGGCGGUGGUAACUAUAACCAUCCUAAGGUAGCGAAAUUCCUUGUCGGGUAAGUUCCGACCUGCACGAAUGGCGUAA
rnacentral:rRNA from 1 species